CGCGGGACGACCCGCGCUUCCCCUUAUUCGCAGGGACGACCCUG
rnacentral:ncRNA from 1 species